rnacentral:lncRNA from 1 species
ACACUCCUUCCGUGGCCUCCAACUGCUCUUAAACGCUAGUAAAACCAAAUGCAUGCUUUUCAACCGGUCGCUGCCUGCACCCGCAUGCCCGACUAGCAUCACCACCCUGGAUGGUUCCGACCUAGAAUAUGUGGCCGUCUAUAAGUACCUAGGUGUCUGGCUAGACUGCAAACUCUCCUUCCAGACUCAUAUCAAACAUCUCCAAUCGAAAAUCAAAUCAAGAGUCGGCUUUCUAUUCCGCAACAAAGCCUCCUUCACUCACGCCGCCAAGCUUACCCUAGUAAAACUGACUAUCCUACCGAUCCUCGACUUCGGCGAUGUCAUCUACAAAAUGGCUUCCAACACUCUACUCAGCAAACUGGAUGCAGUCUAUCACAGUGCCAUCCGUUUCGUCACUAAAGCACCUUAUACCACCCACCACGGCGACUUGUAUGCUCUAGUCGGCUGGCCCUCGCUACAUAUUCGUCGCCAGACCCACUGGCUCCAGGUCAUCUACAAGUCCAUGCUAGGUAAAGCUCCGCCUUAUCUCAGCUCACUGGUCACGAUGGCAACACCCAUCCGUAGCACGCGCUCCAGCAGGUGUAUCUCACUGAUCAUCCCUAAAGCCAACACCUCAUUUGGCCGCCUUUCGUUCCAGUACUCUGCUGCCUGUGACUGGAACGAAUUGCAAAAAUCGCUGAAGUUGGAGACUUUUAUCUCCCUCACCAACUUCAAACAUCAGCUAUCUGAGCGGCUAACCGAUCGCUGCAGCUGUACAUAGUCUAUUGGUAAAUAGCCCACCCUUUCUCACCUACCUCAUCCCCAUACUGUUUUUAUUUAUUUACUUUUCUGCUCUUUUGCACACCAAUAUCUCUACCUGUACAUGACCAUCUGAUCAUUCAUCACUCCAGUGUUAAUCUGCAAAAUUGUAAUUAUUUGCCUACCUCCUCAUGCCUUUUGCACACAUUGUAUAUAGACUCCCCCUUUGGUUUCUACUGUGUUAUUGACUUGUUAAUUGUUUACUCCAUGUGUAACUCUUUGUUGUCUGCUCACACUGCAAUGCUU